CGGAUGAUGAUGAUUUUGUAGAACUAGGCUUACAGGUGGAAAGGGUUGGAGGUGUUAUUCAGAAACUGAAGACAGGAAAGCCUGAAUAUUUUCCGAAUAUCAAUGAUGCCAAAAAGAAGUUAAAUGGGUCACCUUUUAAGACAGACAAUCGCAAAAGAAGUUAAAUGGGUCACCUUUUAAGACAGACAAUCGCCUUAAUGUCAAGGAUGUAUCAUGUAAAGUUGGGAAGUCUUCUGUUUCUUCUCUAGACGUUCAGAACGAUAAUGACGAAGGGUGUAAUUGUAGAACUUCACAUUCUGUUACAAUUAAGAAUGUGCCUUCUAUAAUCAACUGUCUUGAGUUGAAGGAGGCAAUUUCUGUUUUUGGUAAAGUCUCAAAGGCUUCCAAGAGAUCAGUUCCAAAUAGAUUUGAUUGUUGUGACAUUGAAUUGAAGAAAGCGAAGGCAAGGGAGAAAGCAUUAUCAAUGGGCUAUAUAACAGUAAAGGAAGUCUCUCUCCAUAUUUGGCCACUGCAGUCUUCAGAAACUGUUAUAAUUAGAAUUACCAACAUCAGCUUAGAUACUACAGAAUCAGCAAUACACUUUACAUGCAAAUCAUGUGGUCUUUUGGAGGGUCUUGUGAGGAUGAAAGAGAAUGUUGUGGAUGCCUCAUUUAGUGUGAACUGCAAGACAGACACAAAGACCAUACUAAAAAAAUUGAACUCUAUAGUGAAGGAUGAUUCCAAAUGGUCAGCUCACUUACAACAUAGCGAGUCUCCCUCAACGCCAGUGACCGAAAAUGGCAAUGCUCAAGACGACUAGGCGCUUAAAAUUGAACAUUUAGCUGACCUGGAAAGGGAAAUACGUAUGAAGAAGAUCUAUUUCCGAGACCUACGGCUUCUGUAUGGUUGUGUGUUUCACCUUGAAAACCACCCUUUGAAGGCAGAUGACAGCUUUCCGCCAUCAAAAGAAUCCGAGUUGUAAUUUUCUCAGCAGCAAUUACUAGAACGAGUUCAUUAGAAUUUGAAUAUCAAAUAUACGGCUUUUACCUCAGUCGGGGCUUAACCCAUAUAAACUUGAAGGAACAAAACUUUCCCAUUUUGUUUUAUCAUCUUCAUCGUCUUGCUCAGUGUCUUCCUCAGUGUUUUCUUAAACCCAAA